rnacentral:rRNA from 1 species
UACGGAGGAGGCAAGCGUUAUCCGGAAUUAUUGGGCGUAAAGCGUCCGUAGAUGGUUUUGUCAGUCUGCUGUCAAAGCACAGGGCUUAACCCUGUAAAGGCAGUGGAAACUACAAGACUAGAGUGCAGUAGGGGCAGAGGGAAUUCCCAGUGUAGCGGUGAAAUGCGUAGAGAUUGGGAAGAACACCGGUGGCGAAGGCGGGUCUCUGGGCCGUAACUGACGCUGAGGAGCGAAAGCAUGGGGAGCGAACAGG